UACGAAGGGGGCUAGCGUUGUUCGGAUUUACUGGGCGUAAAGCGCACGUAGGCGGUUUGUUAAGUGAGAGGUGAAAUCCCAGAGCUCAACUCUGGAACUGCCUUUCAUACUGGCAAGCUAGAGUCCGGAAGAGGUAAGUGGAACUCCUAGUGUAGAGGUGGAAUUCGUAGAUAUUAGGAAGAACACCAGUGGCGAAGGCGGCUUA
rnacentral:rRNA from 1 species